UCUCCUCUACUAGGAUCCUUUGGGUCUUGUUCAUCAUCUGUGAUGCUCUGAAUGCCAGUUUUGACCAAGUCUCCCCAGAUAGUCAAGAAUUCCUUGGGGCUGAUACACCUAGAAACAGCUGCAGUGGGGCAAGAAAUUAGAGCAUGGACUCCAGCGUGCACGGUGAUGAUCCUGGCUUACUUACCUGAUUCCCGUUCCUGGAGGGGAGGCCUCAUGGGAGGCAGGAGCAUCAGAGUGUCAGGGGGAAUGGAGGCAGCUGACCUCCACUCAGAGGGAAGUCUGCCUGAAUUGAGAAGUCAAGGCAUGGUCUGGGGCCAGGAGUUCUGUGAAACACGCCAUUGCUUUCUGAUCUAUCUCUGUGUGAGCCCGCCUACUGCUUCUUCCAAAGAAAAGGUAACCCGAAUGAGAUCUCAGUCCUCAAAUGGA